rnacentral:rRNA from 1 species
AUUGGACGCUGCCGGCAGGCCUAACACAUGCACGUCGGGCGAGCGGCGGGCGGGUGAGUACUGUAUGGGGAUCUGCCUGAUGGCGGGGGAUAACUACUGGCAACGGUAGCUAAUACCGCAUACCAUCAGCUGCACCCAUAUGGGAUUAGCUUGUAGGUGAGGUAACGGCUCACCUAGGCGACGAUCCCUAGCUGGUCUGAGAGGAUGAUAAGCCCCACUGGGACUGAUACUCGGUCCAUAUUCCGACGGGAGGCAGAAGUGGGGAUAAUUGCACAAUGGGCUCAAGCGUGAUGGAGGUAUGCAGGGGGCAUGAAGAAGGCCCAUGGCUUGGCAAGGUCUUUCAGUCCGGAGGCGUUAUCGACAGAAGAACCAGCUGCUAACUCCGUGUCAGCAGCCGCGGUAAUAC